rnacentral:tRNA from 1 species
GAGGGUAUAGCUCAGCAGUAGAGUGCGUGCUUAACACGCAAGAGGUCCUGGGCUAGAUUCCCUGUACCUCCA